rnacentral:rRNA from 1 species
AAGUCGGACGAUGAAGCCCUUUCGGGGGUGGAUUAGUGGCGAACGGGUGAGUAACACGUGAGCAACCUGCCCUUGACUCUGGGAUAAGCCUGGGAAACUGGGUCUAAUACCGGAUAGGACUCCUCAUCGCAUGGUGGGGGGUGGAAAGCCUUGUGCGGUCUUGGAUGGGCUCGCGGCCUAUCAGCUUGUUGGUGGGGUGAUGGCCUACCAAGGCGACGACGGGUAGCCGGCCUGAGAGGGUGACCGGCCACACUGGGACUGAGACACGGCCCAGACUCCUACGGGAGGCAGCAGUGGGGAAUAUUGCACAAUGGGCGGAAGCCUGAUGCAGCGACGCCGCGUGGGGGAUGACGGCCUUCGGGUUGUAAACCCCUUUCAGCAGGGAAGAAGGGUGACUGACGGUACCUGCAGAAGAAGCGCCGGCUAACUACGUGCCAGCAGCCGCGGUAAUACGUAGGGCGCGAGCGUUAUCCGGAAUUAUUGGGCGUAAAGAGCUCGUAGGCGGCUUGUCGCGUCUGCUGUGAAAGCCCGGGGCUCAACCCCGGGUCUGCAGUGGGUACGGGCAGGCUGGAGUGCAGUAGGGGAGACUGGAAUUCCUGGUGUAGCGGUGAAAUGCGCAGAUAUCAGGAGGAACACCGAUGGCGAAGGCAGGUCUCUGGGCUGUAACUGACGCUGAGNAGCGAHVGC